rnacentral:rRNA from 2 species
GGUCAAGUUAUUAAGGGUGCAGGGCGGAUGCCUUGGCACUAGGAGCCGAUGAAGGACGUGAUAAGCUGCGAUAAGCUUCGGGGAGUUGCACGUAAACUUUGAUCCGAAGAUUUCCGAAUGAGGAAACUCACUUAGAGUAAUGUCUAAGUAUCAUUAAGUGAAUACAUAGCUUAAUGAGGGGAACUCAGGGAACUGAAACAUCUAAGUACCUGAAGGAAGAGAAAGAAAUUCGAUUCCGUAAGUAGCGGCGAGCGAACGCGGAUUAGCCCAAACCAA